rnacentral:rRNA from 1 species
UCUGGCGGCCAUAGCGAAUUGGACCCACCCCUUCCCAUCUCGAACAGGGACGUGAAACGAUUCUGCGCCAAUGAUAGUAUGCACCUCGCAUGCGAAAGUAGGUCACCGCCAGGC